AAAAGUUGUUACGGUACGGACAAUGAUCCAUUCACAUUCCCAAUUCUGGAUCUCCAAUUCCCCCAUCUUCUUUUUAUUUAUUUAUAUUAGUUUCCGUUUCUCACUUCCCGGCGCCGCCUAUCAAUGGGUGAACUCCAAAUCCAACACCCCUUCUCUCUUCCACCUCCGCCGCUCCCUCCUCUUCCGCCCCCCUCCUCAACGCGCGACGACCCUGCCCCUCCGCGGCCCCCAUCCCCUCCUUUCGAUCCUAGCCGAAUGAUUGGUAUCAUUAGAAGGAAGGCCUUGAUUAAAGACUUGGCAGCCGUAUACCAUGCAGAAUGCCUCACAUACUGCCAAGAACUAUUGGAACUCCAGAAGAAAUUAGAUGAGGCCUGCUGCCAAAGCCAGUUGUUUGACCAUUCAUGUAGGUAAAGGUGCCUAGACUGUGGAUCAAGCCGUUUAUAGACAUAAAGGUCCCAGAGGAGCCGCGGAAAGAAACACCAAGACCCCCUAAACGCCUGAAAAAAUCCCGCUAGGUAGCAGUACCAAGGUGCAUAUGUUGAUUCCUUGUGGGAGUUUGUUAUGCCAAUAGGUAGAAGGAUUGGUCUUUCUUACCACUACACCCAUUUAGCUUAUGUUCAAUGAUUAUUUGGAUUUGUCAGAGGAAGCUAUAGAGAGCUGCAGUUUAUAUGAUGCCUAGUCAGUCGAGCUGUGAUGCUGGAGCAUAAUAUAUCUGGUCUUGUGUCUUGCUGCAGCCUUGUGAUGAUGCUGGACUCUGAGAUCUACUUAAUUGAGAACAAAUAGAACACUAACAGGCAAAGCCCAAUUGUUUGAAGUACUAAUUGUUUGAUUUGUACCAUAAUUAAACGAACUUUUAGGUUAUUGUUGUAUUGAAUACUGUUACUAUGACACCAUGAUAUUUGCAGCAUAAUGGGACCUACCAAGAGUGAUGGGUUGUUAGCAUCCUCGACCUUUUAUAGGGGUUCAAUUCAUUAGGGAACAAUUUGAAGACUGCUGUUUGGUUUUAAAUGGAUGGUUUCAUUGUGAGUA